UGGAUACCCCCAGGGUGGAGCAGGAGGAUACCCCCAGGGUGGAGCAGGAAAACCAGGCAAAGCUGGCGGUGGUGAGUCUUUUACUUUGUCGCCAUGUUUUUCUCUUUAUUUCUCUCUUUCUUUCUUCUCCCUCUCUCUCUCUCUCUCUCUCUUUCUAUUCUCUUUUUUCUCUUUCACUCUCAUUUGCCCUCUUCCUCUCUCUCUCUCUCUCUCUCUCUCUCUCUCCCUCUCAGGUGCUAAUCUGGGACAGGGAGGAUAUCCCCAGGGUGGAGCAGGAGGAUACCCCCAGGGUGGAGCAGGCAAAUCAGCGGGUUAUGGUGAUCAAAUGGGAGGAGCAUACCCCGGGGCUGGAGCGGGCAACGGCUAUGGGAAUGGUGGAGGCCCAGCUGGGGGGGCCAAUGCAGUGCCUGCAGGCUAUGGCAAUGGCUACGGUGCUAGUACUGGAGGCAAUGGUUAUGGACCCGGGAUUGGGUACCCAACAGUGUUAGCGGAUGGUGCUGCUGGGCUGGGAGGCAAGGCAGGGAAGGGAGCAGGAGGUCUUGGCGCAGGAGGAUAUCCACAGGGACAGGAGAAAUAUGGGGGUGGAGUCAGUCAGCUUCCUUACAAUGGAGCCCCAGUCAAUACUGCUGGACUGGAUGCAGGUGAUGGAAGCUUCCCUUAUGGUGCUCAGCAACUGGGCCUUGGUGGUGGUGAUGGAGGCAAAUCCUCUGGCAAAUAUGGCAACGGUGGAUUGCCACAGGGUGCACAACAGGGUGCACAGCCUUAUGGACCUGCGACUGGUGGUGGGAAACCACCUUGCAAAAAUGGAAACGGAGGGGGCUUUGGAGCACAGCCAGCAGGCUAUGGUCAAGGACAGCUGGGUGCAGGUCAGAGUGCCCCCUACAGUAACGGAGCAGGAGGGAAGGAAAGCAAAUAUGGUGGUGGUGGACUGACUGGAUUCUUUGGAAAUGGAGGGUACAAAGGUGGGUGGGAUGWGUGUUUGUUACUCAUUUAUGCUUGUCUCUGUGACUGAGCACAUYAAGUCACCUUACUAGUCAUUUAGAUCAGAGCUUCAUGAUCUACCUUGUUUUAUUGUCCUCUUUAACCAGCUGCUUCACUUAACAACAUUUSUUKUCUCUCUCUCUUUCUCUGUCCAGGUUAAGUCAAUCAGCUGAGGCCUUCUUGAAGUGAAUAUUUGUUCCGUUCAGUCAUGUGUUCAUGGUGAUGUUUGUUGUUUGGUCUGUUGUUACAUUUAACUAUUCCAUUUUUGUUCUGUAUUUGUCUGGUUUUUUGUUCAUGGUCCUUGUCUUUUGUGUUGUUGUGUGUCUGUCCCCUCUCUUCCUCUACUGGRUUUGGAGAUUGUGUUGCCAGUGUGUUUGUGUUCAUAUCCAUUUCACACUAAAGGGCAGAAAGCAACCACAUAAUGUCUGUCAGUCUCCUCAUUCUUUUAACCUUGGCACCAGUAUUGUAAAUGUACUGUACAUGUGAUGUGGGGGUUGAGUUUUAAGACUGAAGCUCUAUGAGUUUAAAUCAACACCAAAUAAAAUAAAAUUCAAAGACAUGUUCCCAAAACCUGACACCUGAGUUCUUCUGAGGUCAUUAUAAAGGGGGAUAUUCUCUGGGAUAUUGUGAUGGACAGUACAUACAGAAGAUGUAAUGUGUAUGAAAAACUAUUCCUUAAUACCUCAGUAUGCCCGUGUUUUUUGUUCAUGACAUAGUACUUCUUAUGUUACUGUAUUGCUAUUACUGACAAUGUAUCCCCAAAGACCUUUAUCAUGUUCCACAACGGAAAUAGUUUUGUCAUUAUCUCAACACGGCAGUUUGUUUCAUUCGUCUUUUGCAUGGCGUCACCUGAACUUCAUCCGUGCACAGGAAACCAUAGCCCUUCCUCUCUCAAGUAAUGCAACUGUGCCUUCAAACAACUGAUGUCUCACAUACAGUAAACGAAACCAAAUGCAACAUAACGUAAC
rnacentral:lncRNA from 1 species